UACGGAGGGUGCAAGCGUUAAUCGGAAUUACUGGGCGUAAAGCGUGCGUAGACGGUUAUGUAAGUCGGGUGUGAAAGCCCCGGGCUCAACCUGGGAAUUGCAUUCGAGACUGUGUAGCUAGGGUACGGAAGAGGGAAGCGGAAUUUCAGGUGUAGCGGUGAAAUGCGUAGAUAUCUGAAGGAACACCAGUGGCGAAAGCGGCUUCCUGGUCCAGUACCGACGUUCAGGCACGAAAGCGUGGGGAGCAAACAGG
rnacentral:rRNA from 1 species